CAAUGACGUCAGGUCGCCUGCGUCGACGUCCUUCCCGAUCUAUAUAUAAAUUAAUGUGUCGAUUAAUUAAAGAGCGGUAUUGAUAAAUCGGGACGGUCGGCGGCAGGACAAUGCAGUUCGGAUGGUUUCGAGGAGUCGGGAGAGCUGUACUGCUUUAAAUGGCUCUCUGAAAGAGCUGGAACAAACGAGACUGGCCGAAUGGUCUCCUUUUCGAUAGCCUUCUGAGUACUGAGGAUGAGAUCGAUAGAUUUCUAGAUGUUAAUGACACCAAGGGACAUCGAAAUAGCGUGGGAAAAUGGUGUUGAGGUUCCAACACAAUCUGUAAUUUUGAUGUAAAGUAAUCCAAGAACUGCCCAAACCUGCGAAGUUGUGUUAUUUCCAAUAUUUGCAGGCUUUGCUUCCUAUUCGAGCUAAUUGAUGGAGCUGAAAAUUCAAAUCAGUGGCACUUUUGCUCAUGAUGUGGGUGUCACUGGCCAGUUCAGUGUUUAUCGCCCAUCCCUAAUUGUCGCUGAAUAGGUGCUGGUGAGCCACAUUCUUGACAACUGAGUGGCUUGUGAGGCCAUUUCAGAGGGCUUUUAAAAGUCGACCACAUUGCUGGGAGUUACAUGUAGGUUGGACCGGAAAGGACAACAGAUUUCUUUCCCCAAAGGACAUUAGUGAACCAGGUGAAUGCGAAGUGAUAUUGCUGCUACCUGUGGGGAGGCACAACAGGAAGAUAUCAAGGUGAAGGUAGAUCAACUUUCAGUGACAUUGGUAGUUUCCGGAAAAAAAUCAGUUUUUCGCCACUGACCAUGGCUAGCAAAAGGAAAUCUAAAAUUCCUUGCAUGGUUCCUGCCAGUGAGACUCUGGACCAGGACCCAGAAUUGGACAUGAUUACAGAUGAUCUUCCUCCAGAUAUUUCUGAUGAGAGCUUGACAGCAGAUAGUGCAGUAAUUGAUGAUGAGAAUAUUCCAGAAAAGGAAGUGCAAGAUACCCAAAUCAAGAGACUAGAAGGAGGCUAUGAAUGUAAAUAUUGCACUUUUGAAACACAGGACUUGAACGAAUUUACUUUGCAUGUUGACUCAAAGCACCCAAAUGUUAUUCUUAACCCAUCCUACUUCUGUGUGGAAUGUAAUUUUACGACCAAAAGGUAUGAUACUCUUAAUGACCACAAUGCCAGAUACCAUUCAGGUGAAAUAAAUUUUAAGCUUAAAAUGGUAAAACACAAUAAUCAAACUGUCUUUGAACAGACUGUUGAAGAAUCCAAUAGUAAUGGUGUUUCUACAAAUGAGGAACAGGCAGAAAGCACUGAUAGUACUCCAAUGGGAAUUUCAAUAAGCAAAACUUCAAUUAUGAAGAUGAUUAAAAGUAAAACUGAGACCAAAAGAAUCUCUGUCUCACCUAGUUUGGUAGAUGAAUUUACUGCUGAUCAAGAAAACAAUGAUGAGACACUGGGGGCCAACUCAGUCUCAGGAUCUACCAAUACCAGUGGAAUUUGCAUUAACCAAGAAACAAAUGGAGUGAUACUUGAUUCAGUAAAUGUAAGUCAAGUGAUACCCUCCCCAACUCCUAAUUUAGUUCCUAAAGUUAUGAUUCCUGUGAACAGCAUUCCAACUUACAACACUAAUAUGGAUGUAAAUACUCACCUACUGAACUCGUUCAACAGAUUUCCUUAUCCCACACAGUCAGAAGUUGUAACAUUAAAGACUCAGACAAAAUAUGCAGAAGAACAGAUUAAAAUCUGGUUCACGGCUCAGCGUCUCAAGCACGGCAUCAGUUGGACCCCAGAGGAGGUGGAAGAUGCCAAGAAGAAACUUUUCAAUGGAACUGUGCACUCUAUACCACAAACAAUUACAGUCAUACCGGCACAGAUUUCAACAUCUGCUAAUGGGCUGCAGCAGAUCCUUCAGCCUUGUCAGAUAGUUGGCCAGCCAGGUAUUGUCUUGGCGCAGGUCGCCAGUACAAAUGCAGUUGCUGGGAAUUCUCCAAUUACUGUCACCGUUGCAGGAGUUGCAAAUCAAACACCACAGUGGCAAAAGCGCAGAGCACAGGAAGGUGACGCAGGUCCCGAAGCAAAACGGACAAACAAUGCGCAGCUUCCACAACUUGCUGCACAAGGAAGCUCUCUCGUUCCCGCUUCAGCCACAGAUCCAUAUGGUGUGCGCCUCAAGAAGACAAAAGAACAACUGACAGAACUAAAAGCCAGCUUCAAUAGAAAUGCGUUCCCCAGUGACGCGGAGAUUGCUAGAAUUAUACAAGUGACAGGCCUCUCGAGGGGUGACAUUAAGAAGUGGUUCAGUGACACAAGAUACAACCACAGGAAUUCAAGGUGUAAUCAAAAUGUCAAUGUUCCUGAGGUCAGCAGCACUAUUGUUUUAGAUUCUGGUGAUGAAACCACAUCCGAAUCCCUUGUAAUAACUCAACAGCGCAAACACGGAUGGAAUGCUUUCCCUGAUUUUACUCCACAGAAGUUCAAAGAGAAAUCUACAGAGCAGCUUCACCUCCUGGAAGAAAGUUUCCUUUCAAAUCCAUUUCCUAAUGAUGAUGAGAUUAACAAGCUAAGGACUGAUACAAAACUCACCAGGAGGGAGAUUGAUGUCUGGUUCUGUGAAAGAAGGAAAGCUAAAUGCUCUGACGAUAAAAAUGAGGAGAGUGGGAAAGCAAUUGGAGGCGAGGUUGACGUUAAAUACAAAGACUCUGAUGGAGUAUCUGCCAAAUCAAAUUAUGGGCAAAUUCAUACCACAUCUUUGGCAAGUGGGUUAGCAAUACCAAGAGUAAUGGCUGCUGCAGCUAGUAGGCUAUAUAAGAAAACUCCAGAGCAACUACAUCUCCUUAAAAGUGCAUUUGUCCGUACACAGUGGCCGUCCCCAGAGGAAUACGACCGAUUAGCAGCAGAUAGUGGACUGGCCAGAACUGACAUAGUAAGUUGGUUCGGAGAUACCAGAUAUGCUUGGAAAAAUGGUAACUUGAAAUGGUACUAUUACUAUCAAAGCGGUAAUGUGGAAUGCCAAAAUGGACAAACCCAAGUUUCCUCCAAAAAGAGUAAAGGCAGAGGUAGAUCAAGAGGUAGACCACGAGGAAGAGGAAGGCCCAGAGGCACUGGAAGGUCAAAUAACUGGAGUGGAACAUCAACUAGCAAAUCAGGCCAUGCUUCUUCAGGGAAAAAUAUUCUUGAACAAUACUACUUGAAGCACAAAUACUUAAACGAAGAGGACCUUGACGAUCUUGUUGCAAGAUCGUGUAUGAGUUACGAGAGCAUCAGGGAAUGGUUUGUACAAAGGCAAACAGAAGGUGGUGCUUCUGAGAGCAAUAAUUCAGAUGGACAGUACCCCGGUGAUGAUGAGAAGAAUGAACCACUUGAUGAGGAUGAAGAUUGGCCUGGGGAAGAGAAUGCGAGCCAGGAGGAUGAAGAUGAUGCCUCUGAUGCAAGUGGCAGCAGUGAUGUAUGGAAACCUCCUUCACAAAAAAGCAAUGAAGUUACGGAACCAGAUGGUGAAUUUUCUGCAGAGAAUUCCAAUGUAUAAAUGGUAUAUUCCAGGAGUGUGAUUCCUAAUUCACCAUUAUUUCUGAGACCAUUGGGAUACGGCUGGAGACUCUCGAGGAACCCCAAUGUAUAAAUUAUGUUGGGGAGGCAGGAAAUUUUUUUGAUAUAACCCAGUGUGCAAACAACUUCUGUUUUCAGCUCUGAAUACAACUUUUAGACACAUUGGAACAGGAACUGCGAAUAUGUGAAAGUCAUCAUUGGGCACUUGAGCCAAAAGAAUUAAAACAGAGAAUCCUCAACUGUGGUUAUCCUCUCUGAGCUGCAAGAUUAUUUCCGUAAAGAAAUAUCCAUGCGCCACAUAUUUAUUUCCCAAUAAAUCAAAGUUUUUUUUUAAAUUUCCAUAGUGCCAAAGUUUUAAUACAGGAAUAGAAAGGAUUUUUGUACAUAAAUGACUGUUUUGAAACAGAUUUGUACAGUUUGGGAUUUUGCUACAUUUUUAGUGAGAUGUGUCUUUGAGCACAUGUUUAGAUUUUUCAACCACUUGUAUUUUUUUCAUGUAGGCUAUUACAUUACCCACAUAGAUUUGGCUCAAGUGUCAUUUUGUAAUCUGUCUUCCUGGGAUACAGGCAGUUACAAUAAGCUUUGAGCAACCAUAUGACAUUUCAGCAUUAGUUUAAAGCAAACAUCUAUCAGUAAAGAAAUGCUAACAGAUAUAUUUGUGACUUAAUUAUGCAUGGUACUUUUUGUAUUUGCUUUGGAAAAUUUAUCUGUUCAAUUUUAUGCUUUAAGCUUUAGUAGUUACUCGAAAUUACACACAUUUAUAGAUGUAGAUCAAGUCAGCAAUUUGUUUCUCCCCUGAUAUUUUCUUCAGAAGCCAUAUGCCCAGUUGCUAAUAUUUUUCAGUAUCUUCUGCAAAAGUGAUUUUGUAUACUGAAAUUAGGAAAUUGCUGCUUCUACAUAUACAGUUCUACAUUUAUAUAAUAUAUAUAUAGUAUUUAAAUAUUGUAAGCAUUGAGUAAGGGGGUUGCAAGCUGUGGUUUGAAUAAAUCUGUGUCCAGUUCUAAUUUUUCACGCUAUUUAUUGUACUUUAUGGUGUGAGUACAGUGAGGAGAAGCAUCCAAGUUGAUUGGUCAUGCCUUUUUUUAUAUAGCUAGCAAUUCACCACUAUAGUCAUUUGUGUUUAGUUUGUCUUGCUUAUGUAGCAAAUUACUAUUUGUGCUCCAUCCAUUUCAAGAAUGUUUAGAUUAUUUUCCGAAAGUAGAAAUAAUAUCUAUAAACCACUAGUGGUAAGCUAAACCAGUUAACACAUGUACCUAGUUUUAGACAGAUGCUCUCUAUUUCUGUAGAAAAUAUGGAUCUCUUUACAAAUUUGAAUCAUGAUUACAGUACUGGCUGGUCCCGGUGAAUGUGCAUUUUUAUAAUGCAAAAAAGUUGUUUGCACAUUUAUUGUACAAGUACUGUAUACUAAAUUCUUCAAAGUUUGAUCAUUAUUAGUUAGGACUUCGGUUGUUCAACCACUAAUGACACACAAGUCAUCAUAAAGUAGUUUGCCCUGCACUAGUAACUCUCAAAAGCAGUUUAGCUUCAUAUUUUUCUUCACUAUUUUAAUAUUCGUCAAGAAUCCUGGCAAAACAUUACUUCUCUAAAAUUCAUCAUGAUAUAACCAUUGGUUUUCAUCACCUUUUUCAGGUUUAAGAUAUGUAAACAGUAUUUUAGUUUAAUUUAGCAAAGACUUGUUGUAGCACAUAACACUAGUACAGAUUGUGUGCAGCAGUUUUCCCAAACAUUUUGUGGGAAACGCUGAACUCGAUGCUCCUUCUGGCUCACCAGCGUGGCAGUUUUUAGUUUGAGCGGAUAUAGUUGCCUAACUCGUAAAGGUUUAGUAUCCUAUAUUUUUAACAGUGGUAACAAUUGUCACUGUGAUUAUGAACAGUGAAAUGUUAACACGACCAAGCGUUCUUAGUCUGAGGCUAUAACAGUAUAUUCCCUUCUUAGCCUCUGCCUCACAAGGCCGACACACAAAAUAGAAUUAAACGAUUUUAAAUGUCAGGACUUUGUUUUUAGUGAACAUUUUAGAAGCCUUAGUACAUCACACAUUCAUUUUUUUUUUUCAAGAAGCUUAAGUAUUUAAUCCAAACUUUUUGAUAUGUAAUCUGGUGAUGUAGGUGCAUUUAGCUUUGCUACUGGUCACAGCCCACGUACAGCUUUUCCACCAAUGAGCAUUGACUGGCCCUCUCUGCUGAUUCACCUUCUUGCCAAUGUCCCAUAGAUCACUUAAUUUAAAGCUUGAAAGUAAGUUUUAAAUAAAAAUUCCGCUACGAUCUCAAUUAACCAUUUUUGUUUCAGGUUUGCACUGCUAUUUUGUUUGUCCAGUUACCUGCUUUGUAAGGUCCUGUGAACAACCCCGUGUCAAAGAUGAUUAAAAUUCUGUUCCAAAUCUUUACUAAAAAAUAUCUGUGAAUAUCCAACAUAAUCAGCCAGCAUUCCUGCCCUUGGUGGCUUUCUAGGAAACCUAAAUGUGCUGUUGAAGGGGGUCAGUGGAGAUUUUAUAUAGGUUUGUUUUUUUUUGUCUGUUAUUCCUGCAGAUAAUGUUUUUAAAUUGACAUCUGUUUAGCUGUCUACUGCAGUUCUGUCUUGAUGUUUUGUUUUGAUGUAGAUUUGACAAAUCCUUUUCCAUUGACUAUAAUGAUUGUAAUAGGCGAACAUAACACAUUUCAAAAUAAACCUUCAUUCUGUGA